CGGGACGGGUGAGUAAUGUCUGGGAAACUGCCUGAUGGAGGGGGAUAACUACUGGAAACGGUAGCUAAUACCGCAUAACGUCGCAAGACCAAAGAGGGGGACCUUCGGGCCUCUUGCCAUCGGAUGUGCCCAGAUGGGAUUAGCUAGUAGGUGGGGUAACGACUCACCUAGGCGACGAUCCCUAGCUGGUCUGAGAGGAUGACCAGCCACACUGGAACUGAGACACGGUCCAG
rnacentral:rRNA from 1 species